rnacentral:rRNA from 1 species
AUUGAACGCUGGCGGCAGGCCUAACACAUGCAAGUCGAACGGUAACAGGAAACAGCUUGCUGUUUCGCUGACGAGUGGCGGACGGGUGAGUCAUGUCUGGGAAACUGCCUGAUGGAGGGGGAUAACUACUGGAAACGGUAGCUAAUACCGCAUAACGUCGCAAGCCCAAAGAGGGGGACCUUCGGGCCUCUUGCCAUCGGAUGUGCCCAGAUGGGAUUAGCUAGUAGGUGGGGUAACGGCUCACCUAGGCGACGAUCCCUAGCUGGUCUGAGAGGAUGACCAGCCACACUGGAACUGAGACACGGUCCAGACUCCUACGGGAGGCAGCAGUGGGGAAUAUUGCACAAUGGGCGCAAGCCUGAUGCAGCCAUGCCGCGUGUAUGAAGAAGGCCUUCGGGUUGUAAAGUACUUUCAGCGGGGAUGAAGGGAGUAAAGUUAAUACCUUUGCUCAUUGACGUUACCCGCAGAAGAAGCACCGGCUAACUCCGUG